AUUGAACGCUGGCGGAAUGCUUUACACAUGCAAGUCGAACGGUAGAGGGGGCAACCCCUCGAGAGUGGCGAACGGGUGAGUAAUAUAUCGGAACGUGCCCAGUCGUGGGGGAUAACGUAGCGAAAGUUACGCUAAUACCGCAUACGAUCUAAGGAUGAAAGCGGGGGAUCGAAAGACCUCGCGCGAUUGGAGCGGCCGAUAUCAGAUUAGGUAGUUGGUGGGGUAAAGGCUCACCAAGCCAACGAUCUGUAGCUGGCCUGAGAGGACGACCAGCCACACUGGAACUGAGACACGGUCCAGACUCCUACGGGAGGCAGCAGUGGGGAAUUUUGGACAAUGGACGCAAGUCUGAUCCAGCCAUUCCGCGUGCAGGAUGAAGGCCCUCGGGUUGUAAACUGCUUUUGUACGGAACGAAAAGGUCUCUCUUAAUACGGGGGGCUCAUGACGGUACCGUAAGAAUAAGCACCGGCUAACUACGUGCCAGCAGCCGCCGCCG
rnacentral:rRNA from 1 species